rnacentral:rRNA from 1 species
UAACGAAUCUUCCCCAAUGCACGCAAGUGUGAGGGAGCGACGCCGCGUGUGGGACGAAGUCCUUCGGGAUGUAAACCACUGUCAGGGGAUACCAAGUUCUGAGGAUCCCCAGAGGAAGGGGCGGCUAACUCUGUGCCAGCAGCCGCGGUAAGACAGAGGCCCCAAGCGUUAGGCGGAAUCACUGGGCUUAAAGCGUGUGUAGGCGGACGCCUAAGUGUCUUGUGAAAUCCCACGGCUCACCCGUGGAACUGCUGGGCAUACUGGGCGUCUUGGGCCAACUAGGGGCAGUCGGAACAAGCGGUGGAGCGGUGAAAUGCGUAGAUAUCGCUUGGAACGCCGAAGGUGAAAACAGACUGCUGGGGUUGUGCCGACGCUGAGACACGAAAGCCAGGGGAGCAAAC